rnacentral:tRNA from 1 species
ACUUUGAUAGCUCAAAUAAGAGCGUGGCGCUGAAGAUGCUAAGGUGAGGGGGUCCUCUCAAGGUA